rnacentral:rRNA from 1 species
AUAACCUGGCGGCAUGCUUUCACAUGCAAGUCGAACGGCAGCACGGGUGCUUGCACCUGGUGGCGAGUGGCGAACGGGUGAGUAAUGCAUUGGAACGUACCGAGUAGUGGGGGAUAACUGUCCGAAAGGAUAGCUAAUACCGCAUAAGACCUGAGGGUGAAAGCGGGGGACUCUUUGAGCCUCGCGCUAUUUGAGCGGCCAAUGUCUGAUUAGGUAGUUGGUGGGGUAAAGGCCUACCAAGCCGACGAUCAGUAGCGGGUCUGAGAGGAUGAUCCGCCACACUGGGACUGAGACACGGCCCAGACUCCUACGGGAGGCAGCAGUGGGGAAUUUUGGACAAUGGGGGGAACCCUGAUCCAGCCAUGCCGCGUGUCUGAAGAAGGCCUUCGGGUUGUAAAGGACUUUUGUCGGGGAAGAAAAGCGGAUUGAUAAUACCAGUUCGUGAUGACGGUACCCGAAGAAUAAGCACCGGCUAACUACGUGCCAGCAGCCGCGGUAAU